GACGAACGCUGGCGGCGUGCUUAACACAUGCAAGUCGAACGGACAGGCCCUGCUUUUGUUGGGUGCUCGAGUGGCGAACGGGUGAGUAACACGUGAGUAACCUGCCCUUGACUUUGGGAUAACUUCAGGAAACUGGGGCUAAUACCGGAUAGGAGCUCCUGCUGCAUGGUGUGGGUUGGAAAGUUUCGGCGGUAGGGGAUGGACUCGCGGCUUAUCAGCUUGUUGGUGGGGUAGUGGCUUACAAAGGCUUUGACGGGUAGCCGGCCUGGGAGGGUGAACGGGCACAAGGGGACUGAGAGACGGACCAGACUCCUACGGGAGGCAGCAGUGGGGAAUAUUGCACAAUGGGCGGAAGCCUGAUGCAGCAACGUCGCGUGCGGGAUGACGGCCUUCGGGUUGUAAACCGCUUUGGCCGGUGACGAAGCGUGAGUGACGGUAAUGGGUAAAGAAGCACCGGCUAACUACGUG
rnacentral:rRNA from 1 species